rnacentral:rRNA from 1 species
AGGACGAACGCUGGCGGCGUGCUUAACACAUGCAAGUCAAGGAGAACAUUUUCUUCGGAAAAUUAUUAAACUGGCGAACGGGUGAGUAACACGUAGGUAACCUGCCUUGAAGAUUGGGAUAACUCCGGGAAACCGGAGCUAAUACCGAAUAAUGCAGCGAAUCCAUAGGGAUAUGUUGUUAAAGCGGGCUUCGGCUCGCACUUCGAGAUGGGCCUGCGGCCGAUUAGCUUGUUGGUGAGGUAAUGGCUCACCAAGGCGAUGAUCGGUAGCUGGUCUGAGAGGAUGAUCAGCCACACUGGGAUUGAGAUACGGCCCAGACUCCUACGGGAGGCAGCAGUGGGGAAUUUUGCGCAAUGGACGAAAGUCUGACGCAGCAACGCCGCGUGGUUGAUGAAGCUUUUAGGAGUGUAAAGAUCUGUCGUGAGGGAAGAAAAACCUGGAUGUAAAUAAUGUUCAGGCGUGACGGUACCUCACAAGAAAGCACCGGCUAACUUCGUGCCAGCAGCCGCGGUAAUACGAGGGGUGCUAGCGUUGUCCGGAAUUACUGGGCGUAAAGGGUCCGUAGGCGUCUUGACAAGUUGAUCGUUAAAUCCACCGGCUCAACCGGUGAUCUGCGGUCAAAACUUGCAGGAUAGAAUAUGUGAGAGGAAAGUAGAAUUCCUGGUGUAGCGGUGACAUGCGUAGAUAUCAGGAGGAACACCAAUGGCGGAGGCAGCUUUCUGGCACAAUAUUGACGCUGAGGGACGAAAGCGUGGGGAGCGAACAGGAUUAGAUACCCUGGUAGUCCACGCCGUAAACGAUGAGUACUUGGUGGUGGGAGAUUCGACCCUCUCACUAUCGGAGCUAACGCGUUAAGUACUCCGCCUGGGGACUACGGCCGCA